rnacentral:rRNA from 1 species
UACGUAGGAUGCAAGCGUUGUUCGGAUUUACUGGGCGUACAGGGAGCGUAGGCGGUUGGGUAAGCCCUCCGUGAAAUCUCCGGGCCUAACCCGGAAAGUGCGGAGGGGACUGCUCGGCUAGAGGAUGGGAGAGGAGCGCGGAAUUCCCGGUGUAGCGGUGAAAUGCGUAGAGAUCGGGAGGAGGGCCGGUGGCGAAGGCGGCGCUCUGGAACAUUUCUGACGCUGAGGCUCGAAAGCGUGGGGAGCAAACAGG